rnacentral:rRNA from 1 species
UACGGGGGGGGCAAGCGUUGUCCGGAAUUAUUGGGCGUAAAGGGCGCGUAGGCGGCCAACUAAGUCAGACGUGAAAUCCCCAGGCUCAACCUGGGAACUGCGUCUGAUACUGGAUGGCUUGAAUCCGGGAGAGGGAUGCAGAAUUCCAGGUGUAGCGGUGAAAUGCGUAGAUAUCUGGAGGAAUACCGGUGGCGAAGGCGGCAUCCUGGACCGGCAUUGACGCUGAGGAGCGAAAGCUAGGGGAGCAAACGGG